AGCAGUCGCCGCGGUAAUACGGAGGGUGCAAGCGUUAAUCGGAAUUACUGGGCGUAAAGCGCACGCAGGCGGUCUGACAAGUCAGAUGUGAAAUCCCCGGGCUUAACCUGGGAACUGCAUUUGAAACUGUCAGGCUGGAGUCUUGUAGAGGGGGGUGGAAUUCCAGGUGUAGCGGUGAAAUGCGUAGAGAUCUGGAGGAAUACCGGUGGCGAAGGCGGCCCCCUGGACAAAGACUGACGCUCAGGUGCGAAAGCGUGGGGAGCAAACAGGUUUAGAUACCCGUGUAGUCCCUGUCUCUUAUAC
rnacentral:rRNA from 1 species